UACGUAGGCAGCGAGCGUUGUUCGGAGUUACUGGGCGUAAAGGGUGUGUAGGCGGUUGUUUAAGUUUGGUGUGAAAUCUCCCGGCUCAACUGGGAGGGUGCGCCGAAUACUGAAUGACUAGAGUGCGGGAGAGGAAAGUGGAAUUCCUGGUGUAUCGGUGAAAUGCGUAGAUAUCAGGAGGAACACCGGUGGUGUAGACGGCUUUCUGGACCGUAACUGACGCUGAGACACGAAAGCGUGGGUAGCAAACAGG
rnacentral:rRNA from 1 species